rnacentral:lncRNA from 1 species
CACGAAGGAGAGGCUCCAAGCGUACCUCAACCUCGGGUCUCGUGGGCGCCGCUCUAACCACGCUCAAAAUUUCACGCCCAUAUUCUAUUCCUGCCACGCCCGAGCUGCUCACCGCCUAUCCCUCGACCACGCCUUAGUGCCGACGUCUCCGCACGCCCAUUCAGCAGCUCACUCUAACAUGCAGGGUGUUCACACGCCCGUGUUCUCUCGCUCCGAGCACCACCCACGCCCACACUCUCUCCCGCUCCAUACUUGAGGCUAACUUACGAAGGCUUGGGCCAGCUGAGUACAAUCUUUAAAGACAAAUAUUCUCGCUAAGAUUAUAUAGCGAGAAGGGAAAG